UACGUAGGUGGCGAGCGUUGUCCGGAUUUACUGGGCGUAAAGAGCGCGCAGGCGGCUGGGCAAGUCCGAUGUGAAAGCUUCCGGCUUAGCUGGAAAAUUGCAUCGGAAACUGCUCGGCUUGAAGGUGGGGGAGGGUAGCGGAAUUCCCGGUGUAGUGGCGAAAUGCGUAGAUAUCGGGAGGAACACCAGUGGCGAAGGCGGCUACCUGGCCCACGCUUGACGCUGAGGCGCGAAAGCUAGGGGAGCAAACGGG
rnacentral:rRNA from 1 species